rnacentral:rRNA from 1 species
GAGUGCAUAUACUGGGUAGGGGAGCGUUGUAUAGUAGGACGAAGUCAGACCGAAAGGACUGGUGGACGAAAUACAAGUGAGAAUGCCGGAAUGAGUAGCGAGAAUUAUGUGAGAAUCAUAAUGGUCGAAAAUCUAAGGUUUCCCGGGGAAGGUUCGUCCGCCCGGGGUAAGUCGGGAGCUAAGGCGAGGCCGAAAGGCGUAGUCGAUGCACAUACGGUGGAAAUUCCGUAACCGCCGAAAUCUUUAAGUACAGGGACACAGGAGCAUAGCCUGACCCCGCCGUUGGUUGAGCGGGGCGAAAGGGAGCGAACAAAAGUAGCGAAGCAGGUGAUUGCACACUGGCGAGAAAAGCUGUACGGAAUAGAUAAGGUGCCCGUACCGCAAACCGACACAGGUAGAUGAGGAGAGAAUCCUAAGACCAACGGGAGAAGCAUUGUUAAGGAACACGGCAAAAUGACCCCGUAACUUCGGGAGAAGGGGUGCCUCUUUAGGGAGGCCGCAGAGAAUAGUCCCAAGCGACUGUUUAGCAAAAACACAGGUCUAUGCUAAGUCGAAAGACGACGUAUAUGGGCUGACGCCUGCCCGGUGCCGGAAGGUUAAGGGGAACGGUUAGACUUUGAGUCGAAGCUGUGAAUUUAAGCCCCGGUAAACGGCGGCCGUAACAAUAACGGUCCUAAGGUAGCGAAAUUCCUUGUCAGGUAAGUUCUGACCCGCACGAAUGGCGUAACGACUUGGGAGCUGUCUCGACAAUGUGCCCGGCGAAAUUGUAGUACCGGUGAAGAUGCCGGUUACCUGCGACAAGACGGAAAGACCCCAUGGAGCUUUACUGUAGCUUGAUAUUGGAUUCCGGUGUAUGAUGUACAGGAUAGGUGGGAGACUGAGAGACUAUCACGCCAGUGGUAGAGGAGUCGUCGUUGGGAUACCACCCUUCGUAUAUUGGAAUUCUAACCGGAUACCAUGAAGCUGGUAACGGGACACUGUCAGGUGGGCAGUUUGACUGGGGCGGUCGCCUCCAAAAAGGUAACGGAGGCGCUCAAAGGUUUUCUCAGCACGGACGGAAAUCGUGCGAAGAGUGCAAACGCAGAAGGAAGCCUGACUGCGAGACGAACAGGUCGAGCAGGGACGAAAGUCGGAGUUAGUGAUCCGGCGGUAUGAGAGUGGAAUUGCCGUCGCUCAACGGAUAAAAGCUACCCUGGGGAUAACAGGCUUAUCUCCCCCAAGAGUCCACAUCGACGGGGAGGUUUGGCACCUCGAUGUCGGCUCAUCGCAUCCUGGAGCUGAAUUAGGUUCCAAGGGUUGGGCUGUUCGCCCAUUAAAGCGGUACGCGAGCUGGGUUCAGAACGUCGUGAGACAGUUCGGUCCCUAUCUGUCGCAGGCGGAGGAUAUUUGAGAGGAGCUGUUCCUAGUACGAGAGGACCGGAAUGGACGCACCGCUGGUGCACCGGUUGUCAUGCCAAUGGCACGGCCGGGUAGCUAAGUGCGGAAGGGAUAAACGCUGAAGGCAUCUAAGCGUGAAGCCCCCCUCGAGAUAAGAUAUCCCAUACCGAAAGGUAGUAAGGUCCCAUAUAGACUAUGUGGAGAUAGGUCACAGGUGUAAGC